rnacentral:rRNA from 1 species
AACGAACGCUGGCGGCAUGCCUAACACAUGCAAGUCGAACGAAACCUUCGGGGCUAGUGGCGCACGGGUGCGUAACGCGUGGGAACCUGCCCUUAGGUUCGUAAUAACUCCCCGAAAGGGGUGCUAAUACCGGUUAAUGUCUUCGGACCAAAGAUUUAUCGCCUUUUGAUGGGCCCGCGUUGGAUUAGCUAGUUGGUAGGGUAAUAGCCUACCAAGGCGACGAUCCAUAGCUGGUCUGAGAGGAUGAUCAGCCACACUGGGACUGAGACACGGCCCAGACUCCUACGGGAGGCAGUAGUGGGGAAUAUUGGACAAUGGACGAAAGUCUGAUAAAGCAAUGCCGCGUGAGUGAUGAAGGCCUUAGGGUUGUAAAGCUCGUUUAUCCGGGAUGAUAAUGACAGUACCGGAAGAAUAAGCACCGGCUAACUCCGUG